UACGUAGGCGGCAAGCGUUAUCCGGAUUUACUGGGUGUAAAGGGAGCGUAGACGGCGAUGCAAGCCAGAUGUGAAAGCCCGGGGCUCAACCCCGGGACUGCAUUUGGAACUGUGUGGCUGGAGUGUCGGAGAGGCAAGUGGAAUUCCUAGUGUAGCGGUGAAAUGCGUAGAUAUUAGGAGGAACACCAGUGGCGAAGGCGGCUUGCUGGACGAUGACUGACGUUGAGGCUCGAAAGCGUGGGGAGCAAACAGG
rnacentral:rRNA from 1 species